rfam:Polysphondylium pallidum PN500 unplaced genomic scaffold PPL_contig12, whole genome shotgun sequence.
AUCUUCAUAGCUCAGUUGGAAGAGCAAUCGACUUCGAAUCGAUAGGUCAUGGGUUCGAACCCCAUUGAGGAUA